ACAGACAGACACACAGGGAUGGAUAUCCUGGUCCCAACAUGCAACUCUGGUAGCACUGCUGAUCAACAACAGGAAGGAGGGGAAUUCUGAAUUAAAACUAGUUGCUGAACUAAAUCUGCUGAUGGGGAAAACAAUACUACCAGACAACAGAAAGAAUGAAUAUGCAAGGACAGAAAGAAAUCAGUUUCCGAAAAGCUGGGGUGAGGAGAGAGCUGAGCUUUGGAGGUCAACCAAUUAGAACUAUUUCAAGGAGAAAGUUUAAUCAGCAUCUGGAGGACAGAUGCAUGGAGGUGUGGUGGGGGGUUGAGUGGGCUGGGAAGCAUUUGCAAUAUUCUCAGCCAUACUCACAAGUCUCAGUGUAUGUGAAUGCUGUCAGAGCAACCAAUGCAUUUUACAUCUGCCAGCUCCAUUUUAAUGCAGUCUUUCAGCAAGUCCUUUUUCCUUUACUUUGACUAUCUUUGGAGUGAAAAACAAAAGGGACAAACAAAAGAUUGUGAAUUAUAAAAGAUGAAACUUAAACAG